UCUUUUUUUUUUUUUUUUUUUUUUUGCAUGAGCGGACAUUUCUGGGGCUACAAUCACCAUGUCAACCGCGGGCACUUGUUGCUAUACGUAUUGCGUCAUUUUGCACGUAAAAAACAACUUCAAAAUAAAAGCAAUGCAGCCUUACCCAUGCAUGAGGUAAAAUGAGAAAAUACAUUUAUUUUGUAAUUUCCAAUUAACCUUACGCGGGCCGGUCAAAGUCAACCAAAGGGCAGUAUGUGGCCCGCGGGCCGUAAAAUGCCCAGGUCUGCCCUAAAGGAAGACUACGGGCACGCUGGCCAGGGAACGCUUUGGGAUUCCGAUGCAGGGGCUGGCCCAAGUUGCUGGGGAGAGGGAAGUCUGGGCCUCUCUGCUUAGACUGCUGCCCUGACGACCUGACGACCUGACUCCGGAUAAGUGGACAAAAAAUGGAUGGAUGGAUGGAUGGAUGGAAGUUGUAUCUCUUUCUGGUGUAAAACAUGUUUUUUUCUUUCACUAGGCUGCCAUGGCUGACCAGAAACACUGGUGAGGGGUAACUUUGGAAGGCUUCCCUAUUCAUGAUGACACGUUCAUGUCAUGAGCCGGGGAUUCCUGUCGGUCUCAUUGGAUACUAACCUCUACUCCAGGAUUUGGACAUUCAGCACGCGGACCUUAUCACCAACCUUCAUAACCCACCUCUCAUCUCAACCCAGUGCCCCAUCCACCAGGACGCCCCGCUUCUCUCCACCUAUGCUCCCUCUCCUGCGCUUCCCCCCCGGCUCUCUACCUCUCCCUCCUCCAGCCAACACAUACUCACCCCACAACGCUGAGCUGUCGUAGCAGUUCCAACCACAGACUUAUCUGUGCAUCCUAAGUUCCUCUGUUAUAAAUAAAUCAUUUUACCAUCCGUUUUUAGUCUGUUUUGCAUUCUGCAUGUCUUGGGUUAGGUACCUUCCUCCAAACAUGACAGUUCAUUGCUGGACUUGGUUUGACAGUGAAAGCACGUCUUUGGUUGAAACAUCCAACUUCUAUCCAUCUGUUCUUUCUCUCGCUCUUUCUCCCUCUUUUUUUCUUUGAUGUUGCCCUCCCCCCUCCCUCCCUGCAUCACUUUUUGCAUAUUCAGUUCAUGGUUAAAUUGAUGGAUUAAGUUAUCCCUGGCUCAAAAUCAAUCGUAGCUUUCUUCUUCUCCUUCCUUUACAUCGGACCACAAUGCCAGUAAGAGGCAUGGAGACUGCACUGAGAUGCUGAUAAGGCUCGGUCCCAUUAUGUGUCAUUUUAAACAAAGAAGCGAAGCAGCCUGUGGAGACGCCCCUAUCAGCCAUUAAACAGAGAUGUAGCACGCAGCCUGAGAUUAAUGAUUAGCAUUUUCUCCUGGUAGAAUAACGAUGCAGGCCUGGACCAGUGAUAACAAGGGAGAGUACAAAAACUGCUUCCCUUUCCUCUCUCUUUUCUUUACUUUAUUUUACCAUCUGUUCUUAACCUAAAGAUAAAUAUCAUUUCUUGUAAGUUUCUUCUUGUAUUUCUCCAUUCCUAUUUUUUCCAUGCUCCCUUCCUCUCAAAUCCACCUCUAAACCCUCCCUCACCCUUCACAAAGGCAAAUAAAUGCAUGGGCCAUGUUGCUGUCCUUUUGUCUUGCAUCCUUGUGUAAUCUGUUAGAAGUGGACAACUUGGAAUCCCUUAUGUCACAGUCGGAGACUUGUAAGUCCUAGCCAGAUACAAGGCAGAAUGACAUGGGAUGAAAGAGGGGUAAAGGGGGAGAUUGAAGUAACAGUUUGAUAGGAGCGUGUUGGGCUUUUGUUUUCUUUACUGUGAGAACCAGUGUCAGCAAUUGUGCUGAGACAGAUUUAACUACAGGGAAAGACUGUGAAACAGCUGGAUUUUAAAUGUUGCAGAUAGACCUUCUUCAUUUCCCCCUCGCUGCUAUUGAAUGCAAAUUUUUGCUACCACAGCUAAAUUCUGCUGUUUCUGUCCUGAGCAUGGUUCUUGUUUUAAAACCAGAGUGUCUUUGAGCUGUGGUUGUCAAACACACUGAAUUGGGACAAAAAUGUAAAAUUUUUAGUUAGAAUUACAAUGAAAAAGAGCAUUAGGUAGUUUUCUGAUAAGUUUUAUCAAUUAAAGGGUCACUUUGGGUAAACUAAGUAAAUGUAAACUGUAGUGUUAAGGAUUGACUACAUAUAUAUUAAACAAUCAAUAAGAUGUGAUGUUCUGUAUAAAUAUGAAAUAUCAAUCUGAUUGGUCUUUGAAUGUUUAAUCCGAAGACUUUAGUUUCUUUGACUUAUUCAGGAAACACACACUUCAUAAUAAACCAGACAGAGUCAGGAUAAAGUUAUUAAAAUGAUUUUAAUUCUAUUUUCUAAACUAAAUGAUUGUACUUGAUGAUGGUUGUACAGAUGUUUUAGCAAAACCUUUCUAAGUAUCUGAGAGAGCUUGUGGUGUCUGGGUUAUAGCAUCAGUUUGGCUGUAUGGUUUGAUAAGCUAAACUUUAUUUAUGAAACCAUCCAACGCAAUCGUGCAGAGUCUAUUGGUGUUCUAGCCGUUAUUAACUUGUGUUUAUAAACUUAGACAAAUCAGAGUUUGACACGUUUAAGAGGGCGUUACCAAAAUGCCUCAGAAAUCGCUCCUUCACUCAGAUACUCAGAGGUCAACGCUCAGUGUGAAGUGAAAAUGUCUUUCCACAUAAACAUGAAGUGAAUGUUAAAACCUCAUUAUUGAUCUUGUGAUGUAUGAGUAUACUGACAGAUUCAUGUGUUAAAGCAACACAUACUGAUCUGGUGUAGUUUAAGAUCUGAAAUGAACCAUUGCAGGAAAAAUACUCAUUUUAACACAUCAUAGAUUAAUGCACACAUUAUUCAAACACUUAGGCAUUUAACAAGAGAUAAUUAUAUAACACUUAUGCAAUUAUCAAGUUUUUAAAAGUCAUUUAUGAUUCAAGAACGAUAAACUUUAUUCAGAGUGAGGAUGCAGAAGUCUUGUCUCCUGCAUGACUUUUGUUCCAGCCACGAUAAGGCGGCUGGCCCUUAUUAUGUCUCCUUUAUCUGGUGACAAGGCCUUGUGCAGCAUUUUCUGGUUUGGAGGUCAGACAGAUGGGAUGUUUGUGUCUGCAAAUUAAAAAGUUCAUUUCUGGUCAUUUUGAUGUGAAUACUUGACCUUUGGGUGUGCAAUCAAAUGAAUUGUGACAUUUUUGUGAGUUUUAAGGGUCAAAUUUACUCAUAUUUUAAUACGUUUGCAGUGGUUUCUAGUAGGAAUGAAAGACUUGUGAGUUGUUCUCUGGGAGAAAAAAAUCCCUGGUGCACCAAUUUGAGAAAGUGAAAGUCAGCUGGAGUAGAAGGUAGCAGAUCAAGGCAGGAUUUGGAGUCUUAUAUCCUGAUAUUUGGACAUCUUGCCUCUGAUUGGCUAGCAGCAACCCCUCUAUAACUGACUGUUUGCUUUACAACAUCAAUGUUUUAUCUUCACAAAUAACACAAGACUGGGGGAGUUCUGCUGUCUGGUGGAGUUGCUAAUGCUAACGGUUAGCUUCUACUAGCGGAGACGUCCUUUGCUGUUUCCUGGAAGCUAAAACAACAACAGCCUUCCCUGUCAUGAGUCCAGAUGGGUGAGUCCAUGAAUGUUAAGUGACAGUGUGACGUAGAUCUGUCAGGCUUUUCUAAUCCUUGAGUUUCACCGCCUGUUUUCUAUCAGAAGCUAAAACAGGUGUAGAAGAGUGUUAACUUUUUUUUUACAGCAUCUAGUUGCAAAGUCUUCCCAAAGUUGUUACAGAUCUCACACACCUUCUGACUCAUGGAUACUAAACUGAGAAGAGUUCAAGGUGGGUUUGAGAUGUCUGCCAAAGACUCUGAGACUGUUGGAAGAGAAAAGGUCAAAAAAAUAUUGUGAAUCAUUUCAAAAGCCCGGCAAAGUGAAAGUAAGGCCCUGUGACUCACCUGAAGAUAUUUAGAACUCUCCCAAAUGUUUUCAAGAUGUUCUAAUGAAGCUCCUAACACGAACAGAACAUGCAAAGGUUUUCUUCUUCAAUCACUACAGGUUAACUCAUUCGCUGCCAGCUUUUUCCUGAUAGGUAAAGGCCUUCGCUGCCAGCGUUUCUCACCGUUUUUACUGUUUUUUUAAGAGCUACAGAGCAUUGCGCGCUAGGAUGAUGUCGACGCCAAAACAACCAAAACAAAGCGGAGACUCACCUCUUACAUAAGGAAGAAUCCGCACGUUUCAAGCGUUAUCCGUUCUUUCACAAUCCGUUGUUGAAUUGCUUUUCCGGUUCGCGCCUCCCUUUUUUUACAGUAGCGGCCCAAAAUGAUCUCCUAACACGUGGAUUUUCUGCUUCAUGAUCAUGUGACGUGUAACGUAUGCAGAUGAAGAUCGGCUUUAGAGUUGAGAUGUUUGUUCUCACGGUGCGGGGGCUCGUCCGACGCCCACACAGUAAAAAAUGCAAAUGGCGACUUUAGUCCUCAUUGGCAGUGAACUGUUGGAUUUAAAAUGAUGACUUUAGUAAUCAAUGGCAGUGAAUGAGUUAAGAAGCAUCUCAAAGGGAUACUUUGCAACUUUUUCAGAUUUUUAAAUCAUUUUCAGCAUGUGCUAAAAUGACCCUUAACAAGGUUAAUGAAAGGCCACCCUAUUGCCCUCGUGGCCAGAAUAUUCCACUUGCAACUUCAGACUGGUGGGCCGCUCUGUUGGGACUUUGGAGCUGGUGAGCUGAUGUCACUCUCAUGAUCGCCAGCUCCCCAGCUCCUGUGUCUGUGCAU